GUGAAUCAUCAAAUCUUUGAACGCAAAUUGCACUCUCCUCGGAGAGUAUGCCUGUUUGAGGGUCAGCCUAUAAAAAAUCGACAUCGUUGCUGUUUCGCGGUGGCGUUCGUCGGAAAUUGGGUCAUCUUAAAUCCUUUUGAUUUUAGCGGCUUUAAAUUUUCUUUUGGUUUUAUGUACGCGUCUCUGAGAUUU
rnacentral:misc_RNA from 1 species